GAACUGUCUGGACACAACCCCGUGCCGUGUGCUCUGGGAUGGCCCUGUCUGAGCAGGGAGGUUGGACCAGAUGCCCCCGGUGGUCCCUCCCAACGUGAGCCGCUCUGCGGUUCUGUGAGAGAUUUCCCCCAGAUAAAUAAAGCGCGGAUUGUCUACGAGGAGUCCUUACAGUGCCACAGGUUGCAUCGGCUGCGAGGUGCCUGAGAACGAAGGGAAUGGUGAGCGGGUUCCCGAGCUGGCAGAGUGACUCAGUGUGUUUGUGCAUCUCCAGUACCGGAGCAGACAGGAAUCGCCAUGGGAAGCUGAUUGCAGUGAGUCAAGAGAGGGCCUCCUUCCUCCAAGCUAAACAUGCAGGGACAGUUCAAAACUUGUCUCAGCGAGGAGUUGCCCUACUGCAGAAAUUUUCGUUUUGAAUGAACGAAGCACUUAUUUAAUUUAGGGGAGGGAUGAUUACUUAAAGCAGCGUAUAAAAACAUACUUGAUCCUCUGACUAACUUCACAGUUGUACUAAUGUUGUCUUGGAAAACUCAAGCCCUUUCAGUCAUCACUUUAAAGCAAGUUUAAUAUUUAUGGAUCACAAGAAUGGAUAUGGAGGAUUAAAUACACUAUCAGGUUCUGCUUGCAGAGCUACUUGGCAGGACAUGUUCUGACAGACAGGCCCCGUCUCCACAUGAAAUCUUUUGGAGUAAAGUGUUAUAUUUAGAAAAAUGUGUCUGUACUCCAUCCUGUCACCAUGAAAAAUCUAGAAUUUACAGUGCCUGAUAUAUAUGCAGAGAAAAAUCUAUAUAAUUUAAUAUGCAUUCAGCCUAGGUACCAUGAAACUUUUCCAAGCAUGAGCAUUGUUACAAGCCUGAACAGCUCUUAGAUAAGGAAGUGCAUUGGCAACAGAUUUCAGAGAGGAUAUCAACCAAAGUAAAGACAGGAAGCCAAAUCCUAAAAGGCAUUAUUGGAUGAAGGAAGCUAGGCAUUUACAGUGAGUGAGCUGAAUGCCUUAAUCUUACCAGUGAUUUACAUGGAGGGCAAAUCUCUGCAUCAACCUGGAAGGAAUGGGGAAGAAACACCACGUGUUGAAACCCAUGUCCACAUACAGAACACAUAUGGAAACACAUAUGGAAAGUGUCAUUCAUAAGGGAGUGGUAGCUGUGAACUUACUUGAACUCUGCUCUAUUUGUGGCCAAGUAACACAUUCAGAAUUUGGUACAUAUUUUUUCCUGAAUAAAUCACAUGACAGGUUGA